CCCCUCCAGAUUCCUUCCCCCUCAGAUCUGAAUAUUGGUCUGAGUGGCUACAAAAUGAGGAAUAGUAAAAUUGAAGUGGACUUCGAGUCUUUAAUGAUAUGCAAGUUCAUUUCAAACUAUA
ensembl:snoRNA